ACAGUCUGAAAAUUACCUCAGCUGCUUCAGUCAGUUGGAGUAAGAUAACUGUGCAAAUAGAAAUAUGGUACAUUUAAGCUUAUUGCCAGCUUUAUGUUGCUGUGUAAUGAAACCCAUGUACCGACACGU